AUCUAUGCCCACACAACUCUGAGGGUACCCGAUCUCCUCUGAUUUCAGAAAGAGGGCAGGGUCAGGCAUGGUUAGUUCUUAUACUGGAGGACAGAUUUGGGAUCUAAGGGACAGAGACA
rnacentral:rRNA from 1 species